AUUGAACGCUGGCGGCAGGCUUAACACAUGCAAGUCGAGCGAGCGGCGGCCGGGUGAGUAAUGUCUGGGAAACUGCCUGAUGGAGGGGGAUAACUACUGGAAACGGUAGCUAAUACCGCAUACCAUCAGAUGUGCCAAGAUGGGAUGAGCUCGUAGGUGGGGUAAUGGCUCACCUAGGCGACGAUACCUAGCUGGUCUGAGAGGAGGACCAGCCACACGUGAACUGGUCCACGGGCCAGACUCCUACGGGGGGCAGCAGUGGGGAAGAUUGCACAAUGGGCGCAAGCCUGAUGCAGCCAGGCCGCGUGUGUGAAGAAGGCCUUCGGGUUGUAAAGCACUUUCAGCGAGGAGGCGUUACUCGCAGAAGAAGCACCGGCUAACUCCGUGCCAGCCGCCGCGGUAAUAC
rnacentral:rRNA from 1 species